CUUCCACUCCUCCUGCCAGGCCUGGGACCUGGGGGGGAGCGCUGUCCGCAGACACUUGGAGGAACCCUCACGGUCCAAGCCCGCUUAUGAGAUUUCAGAACACCGAGUGGAAGGCAUCAGGGAAUUCAUAGUUCCGUCAGAGAGAAGGUGUAAAUUCUGAAGUACUUGGCACAGAGACAUUUACAAAUGGAUUGUUUCAAACCCACACUGGUCAAUCAAUUGUUUGGAAUUUGAAAUGUAUUUUUUUUUUUUCAAAAAAAUGUUAUAAACACUGGUUUGCUUUCCAGGCAAGCCCAGAGAUACUAUGGUGAAAACAAAACUUUUUAUUUCUCUUAAUACCAUUGGAACAGAGAAGAAAUGCUAACAAAGUCAUAGCUUCAAUCAUAUUUGUUUAGUUUUGUUUGAGAUCUGAAGAAAUCGUUUGGAUUUUUCAAAGGUUUUAGACGCUUAGGGAAUCAGCUGCUUGUGUUAUGUCCAUUUUUACUUCCUUCUUUCUUCUUGAUGCUAUAGUCAGUGCCAAUAAUCUUGGGGAUGUCAGCUACAAUCAUAGGCAAGGGAGAAAGGGCUCAAAAACACCAGAAACAGAAUGGGAAAAUUUUGAGAGAAACUGAGGUAUCUUACAGGAAAUUAAAGAGAAACGGGAAGGAGAAGAGGAGUCAAAGUGAGGGGUGUGCUUGUGAUAAAGAGGUUCCUUGAGGUGUAGUUAAUGGAGUUGAGAAAUGAGGAAGACGUGCAGAAUCACUCCAAGGAGAAGGCAGGAGAGAAGUGUGCAGAAAUCAAAACCCAAAUGCCUUCAGGGCCCAGACAGGUACAGGAAAGGAGCAGGCUGGGGAUGAAAGAACGGGAAAUAGUGGGGAGCAUGGCAAACCAGAGAGUUCGGGAAGUUCUAAUUUGAUUUUUUGUAAAACAUCAGUGUGAGCCUAACCAAAUACCGCUGCAAGCUGAGUUGUAUCUGUCGGCCACCUUUCAGAAUCUUUGGCAAAGAGAUUAAAAGCAGGAGAUCUGGAGUCAGACUGCCUGGGUUCAUCACCUGCUUCACCACUUAGUGGUCUGUGACCUCACUUUCCUCGUCUGUAUACCGAUAUUUCUGACUUCAUAGGAUUGUUGUGAAGUAUGACGACAUAGGUGAGAG
rnacentral:lncRNA from 1 species